UUUAAUUGGUGCCUUUUUCUAGCUAAGCAAAUACGACUUUAAAAACACCAAUAUGUGCAAAUAUCUUCCGAGAACGACUGAUUAUGCACUAGUUAAUAUUGCUGAGUUACAGAUGCCGUGGUUUAAAUCAAAAGGGUCUAAUCCAGUUGUGACCGUUUAUAAUAGUUAUAGCUAUACGGAAGAUAUAAAAUAUGAGGCUAGGUUACUCAAGUUUCCAUUGGAUUAUAGAAAUUUUAAACUGGUGAUUCUUCUUCCAACUGAAAAGGGCACGGAUUUUGGUUUGUUUCAAAGACUGGUUGAAAAUGGUGUUAAUUCUGCACUCCAGUUCGUUCAGCCACUAUUUACUGUAGUAUCUGAUUUGAAAUCUCCAAACAUUAAUUUUUACGAAGAAAAUGAUUUUUUG